AAUACAAUCAAAAAAUUAUUACAACCACUCAUUUAAAGAUUAAGUCUCAUUUAAAGUAUCAUGCUAGGUCUUUACAUAUAUUUUAUUAAAUUUCAAUCCUAAAAACUCCUCUUUGAGCCAGGUGCUAUUACUGUCAUUUCAUGAAUAAAGAAACUGAGAAUCAGAAUUGAUGACUAACUUGCCCCAGAAGACACAGCUAACGGAUCUGAUUCCGAGGUCCAUGCUCUCACACACCAAAUUGUUAUUUUUCAAGUGCGUAUUGGAGAGAUCCAAGAUUGUUGGUGUGCCUGUAACAGCACCUCUCUUUGAUCAGCAGCUAUGUUACAACCCACAGAACUGAACUUGGAUUGUCUUUGUGAUGUGUGAGCGCCCGUAUCUGGAAGACAAGAACUCUGGAGGGAUAGCAACUUCCUCUGCCCUAUGCAAAGGAAUAUGUGCAGUUCCAGUCCGUGUUCACAUAUGCAAUGGAACCUCAUCAAUCUGGAAGUGUAUGAACUCAUCUGUGACAAUCCAGACCCUUCGCUGAGAUGGUGAGCAGGGCUAAAUCAAAGCUUAACUCCACCAACCUUUUGGAGUCUAUGAAAGCAAAAAUCAAAGGGCAAAUGUUGGCGUGACUAAUCAUAUGAAUUGGAAUGAAUUUGAAGAAGAAGAAACAAAGCCUGACAAAAGUGGUCUGCAAGGGCGUAAGAACCAGAAAGCAUCUCUCGUGUUCUGCCUUUACCAGAAAUGCUGAAGGAAUUUUCUGCAGAUGGUCAGGAUGGAAUUAUGAAAAAAUCAUCACCCGCCUCCUUCCUUCUCUCAACUCAUUGCCAGACAGUGUGCAAAACACGGAAGAUAUAAAAUGAGCAUGUUAUGUCCCUGGCCGUCCAACCUUACCCUCUAGUUCACUGAAGUGUCCAAGUCACCAGAAAGUAAUAGUCAAAAGACACAGUGGGUGCGCAAAGAGGGAGAGGUCAACUCUGUGAUUCUUAAUAAAAUAAUAAUAAUAAUAAUAAUAAUAAUAGCAAUCGUGUAGGGCUGUUCAGUGAGAUGACAAACUUUCCCAAGUAAAAGCAAAGUGGAAUCUGAAUUAAUGGACAUACUUGAGUCAAAUCUUAAGAAAGGGGAUCUUGAAGAAGCAAUCAAUUCAUACUGAUCCAAAGAAGGAAAUGAUCUGAACCCGGGUCAUUUCUGCUUCGAAUUAUGAAAUACAGACAAGAAAUCAGAAAGGAGACUCAAGAGAAACAAAAGUGAAAGUGCCCAAAGGAAAUACAGCAGUAAACAAAAGUACAAAACUUUAUAUCUCACUGAAAAACGUGGCAGAGUAUUUUUUUUCCAGGAACCGUGAACACAGGUCUUGGAAAGGAAUGAAAUGUCUAUCACGCCCUCUGAACGUGAAUAAGAGUGCAACAUGAAUCCACCUUGCUCCAAUCAACUGUCUUCUUAAAAAAAGCUCCCCGACCCUAAAUGACCAUUUAUAAGAAAUUUCUCCCCAAGACAUCGGUCCUUGAUGUAUAUGGUCCGUUCCCACAAUAACCACCCUUCCCCUGGCCCCAUAAAAUCCAAUACAAAGGUAAUAGUGAGACCUCUCUGAACGUAACCCAGAACGGCACACUCGCCCGGGAUCUAAAGCGCGAGCUCUAGGGUGGACCGGCAAGUAGAGGCCACCAGAAAGGACCAAACUGACAGCUUCAUUCAGUGUUUGCGGUGUGGGACCAGGACAGGCGACCGCUUUGGCUAGAGGGUGCGACCUAGACCCAUCAAUGGUCACUGGGCUCCCUAGCUUGGAGGAUGCUCCUUGUCCGCUGCAGCAGCUUCACUUCGCGGAACAGAGGGUGCGCGCGCACACACACACACACACACACACACACACACGCACGCACACACAAGCGCCCCCCCCCCCCCCUUUCCUUCCCUUGCAGUUGUGUCUCGUCUCUCUUUUGUUUUUCUCCCUUCCCGGUCAUGAGACCCGGAAGUUUUUUUUUUUUUUUUUUUUUUAAUCCCGUCUCUCUCCCUUUUCCAAACUCUCCCCCCACCCGCCCAAUCUAUCACAUGGCAGAGAUAGAAUAAAAACAGAAAAAUGGCGACGGUCA